GAUGAACGCUAGCGGCAGGCCUAACACAUGCAAGUCGAGGGGUGGAGGAAGCUUGCUUCCUUGAGACCGGCGCACGGGUGCGUAACGCGUAUGCAAUCUACCUUUUACAGAGGGAUAGCCCAGAGAAAUUUGGAUUAAUGCCUCAUAGUAUAUAUCAUUCGCAUGUUUGGUAUAUUAAAGUUCCAACGGUAAAAGAUGAGCAUGCGUCCCAUUAGUUAGUUGGUAAGGUAACGGCGUACCAAGACGAUGAUGGGUAGGGGUCCUGAGAGGGAGAUCCCCCACACUGGUACUGAGACACGGACCAGACUCCUACGGGAGGCAGCAGUGAGGAAUAUUGGUCAAUGGACGCAAGUCUGAACCAGCCAUGCCGCGUGCAGGAAGACGGUCCUAUGGAUUGUAAACUGCUUUUGUACGGGAAGAAACACUCCUACGUGUAGGAGCCUGACGGUACCGUAAGAAUAAGGAUCGGCUAACUCCGUGCCAGCAGCCGCCGUAAUAC
rnacentral:rRNA from 1 species